UUCUAUGAUUAUAAAUGUAUUAAUAAACCAGUUCCCAUCUGAUCUUAGAAGCUAACCACUGCCAGCCCUUGUUAAUAUUUGGAUAGAAGACUGCCACUGAAUACUGGUUGCUGUAGUCU
rnacentral:rRNA from 11 species